AGAGUUUGAUCAUGGCUCAGGACGAACGCUGGCGGCGCGCCUAACACAUGCAAGUCGAACGAGAGAUGAGGAGCUUGCUCUUCAAAUCGAGUGGCGAACGGGUGAGUAACGCGUGAGGAACCUGCCUCAAAGAGGGGGACAACAGUUGGAAACGACUGCUAAUACCGCAUAAGCCCACGGCUCGGCAUCGAGCAGAGGGAAAAGGAGCAAUCCGCUUUGAGAUGGCCUCGCGUCCGAUUAGCUAGUUGGUGAGGUAACGGCCCACCAAGGCGACGAUCGGUAGCCGGACUGAGAGGUUGAACGGCCACAUUGGGACUGAGACACGGCCCAGACUCCUACGGGAGGCAGCAGUGGGGAAUAUUGCACAAUGGGGGAAACCCUGAUGCAGCGACGCCGCGUGGAGGAAGAAGGUCUUCGGAUUGUAAACUCCUGUUGUUGAGGAAGAUA
rnacentral:rRNA from 1 species